rnacentral:rRNA from 1 species
CGUAGGGUGCGAGCGUUAAUCGGAAUUACUGGGCGUAAAGCGUGCGCAGGCGGUUUUGUAAGACAGAUGUGAAAUCCCCGGGCUCAACCUGGGACCUGCAUUUGUGACUGCAAGGCUAGAGUACGGUAGAGGGGGAUGGAAUUCCGCGUGUAGCAGUGAAAUGCGUAGAUAUGCGGAGGAACACCGAUGGCGAAGGCAAUCCCCUGGACCCGUACUGACGCUCAUGCACGAAAGCGUGGGGAGCAAACAGGAUUAGAUACCCUGAUAGUCCACGCCCUAAACGAUGUCAACUGGUUGUUGGGUCUUUACUGACUCAGUAACGAAGCUAACGCGUGAAGUUGACCGCCUGGGGAGUACGGCCGCAAGGUUG